rnacentral:rRNA from 1 species
UACGUAGGGUGCUAGCGUUGUCCGGAAUUAUUGGGCGUAAAGCGCAUGUAGGCGGUUUUGCAAGUUAGAGGUGAAAGCCCGGGGCUCAACCCCGGAACUGCCUUUAAGACUGCAUCGCUUGAAUCCAGGAGAGGUGAGUGGAAUUCCGAGUGUAGAGGUGAAAUUCGUAGAUAUUCGGAAGAACACCAGUGGCGAAGGCGGGUCACUGGCCUGGUAUUGACGCUGAGGUGCGAAAGCGUGGGGAGCAAACAGG